rnacentral:snoRNA from 13 species
GGACUGAUGAUGAGCUUUGUGUACUGAGUGUGAAUGAACAUGAGGUUCACUGUGAUUACUCUGAAGUUC